CAGAAGAGCAGGGAGCCUGCCUGGAAAAGAGGCCAGGGUUUUCCAACCAGACUGGCAGGCAGGACUCCUUGCAAAAAAAAGAGCCUCUUGGCUCCUGCGGCUGUUGCUGAAAUAGCCCCCUAACCCCCACCCCAGUCUCUCGGUUUCUCUCUCUGAGGCCCCCAACAGGUGAUGGAUUUGUCUGCCAGAGAGAUUUUCAUCUAGGUCUUUGCCCUCCAUUUCUGGAACAUUGUUGUGGGGCUAUGCAGACGCUGGACAGAUGCCUGGAUGCUGUAAUGGGCUGGAUGGAGGCCAGCCUACUGAAGCUGAAUCUACAUAACAUUAGAAGCUCAGUAGAUUGUGGGAAUCGGGAUGGAGCUGCACUCCCCUCUAUAGGGAAGAUGCACAGUUUGAGAGUAGUCCUGGAUCCAUCUUUAUCAUUGCAGGAUCAGGGGCCUUUUUAGGUGAAUGGGUUGGACAAUAAGGCAGACACAGUCUCCAGACCUUCAGCACCUUUCCAUCCCUACAGUUAAGACUAAUAUGAAUGUCUUGAGACCACAUUCCAGCUUGAUC